CUCCCCCAAGCCUCGCCACAAAGACCGGUCCUGCGCUGCCUGCAUCCAGCGAAUCCCCGCGAACCUCGAUAGAUCGUCGGUCCAUCUUUUGAGAGGCCUACCCACGCCACGUCUGCCGGUACGCUAAUUAAUCUUUAUUUAUUAUUUUACUAUAAUUGAUUUCUGGAAAACUAUAAUAAAUUUUAAUUCGUAAAUAAAAAGGAAAAAAGGAACACUAAUAGCCUAAAUAGGGGCCCUAAUAGUAUUGUGCCCGGGGCGCGAGUUAAACUAAACUCGCUACGCCACUGUAACAGCCCCCCUACUCUGUGAGGCGACUUUCAAAUACGAACUGGAAUUUAAAUCUCAAGUUAAUGCUUCCCCAAUUAAAAUACUUAUAUAGGACAAUCGUCUAUUGAAUAGUUUAAACACUUAAAUAAUUUAGGCAAGCGAUAUUUGAAGAAGUGCCUUGGUUUGAGGAUCGGGAGAUUGACGCAAAUUAUACCACAUAUUUUAAGAUCGAAGCAGUUAAAGGCAGCAGAAGCUACUGAACUCGCCGAACAGCGAAAUACAAAAGCAUAUAAAAACAAGUUUCUGCAAAUAAAAAUUCAAGACAAUUCCUGAUAAACAUUUAAUUUUCUAAAAAUUAUGUACAACACAUACGUCACAUAUAAUUUACAUUAAUGCAUUUUAGAGUAGGUAACAUUGUUUAUUAUUAAUUCACAUUGUCGUGUUGAGUCAACAUCGGUAAAGAAACUAAUGUCUGUCUUAACCAGAUGCAUAAACCAUAUAUUGUUGUCAUAAAAAAAUAUUUAAAAUCGUGAUUUCAAAAAGGAAUUAAAAACAAAUGCUAUUUCAUUAACUUUCGCAAAAAAGGUCCCAGGUAAGACCUUUGAUGAAAAACCACCGCUCACAACGACUGUGACGUGGAACUUUUGAGUGUCGCUAAAUUUUAGAAUCGUCAAAUGUGCCGUGAUGAAAAAAGUUUGAGAACCACUGUAAUACGAUAUCGUGACCAACAGGGAACGGCAACGGAACCCCUGAAUAAUUUAUUAAAACAAUAAUUCGUCUAUGAUCGAAUUUCAACGAUAACUUCAGAAAUGCUUUACAUUGUCAUUACUAAGUGUACACCGCACAGGCAACCCAAGUUAAAACAUAAAAUGGAAUUAUAAUUGGUACUCUGAUGUCUCUAGAACGUAUUCAGACGGUUGUAGUGUGAAAUAUUAAUUAUACUCAUAAUUAUAGUAGAAUACAUAUUGCUGCAUUCAAAAAAUUCUUAGUACAUCUGCCGCCGUAAACUUGAGCAAGAUUAUUGAGCAAUUAAUUUUAGUAAUGAGUUUUUAAUACCAACGAUAAUGGAUUCUCGUCCGAAACUACAAUCUUUAUAGAUUAAUAAUUAUACUGACUUGUACUAUAGUUACCUUUUACAGCUAUGUAAUGAAAAAAUUGUGUAUGACAUCCAGAAUGUGUUUAGGAAUGUUCAAAAUUGCUUGGAGUGCAUCUAUGCACAAUGGGAGAAAAAAAAAAAAAUUGUAUGUCUAAAAUAUGUCUCAGAAUUAAAGAAAAUGUUCAUAGGAAAAAGUUGUAGUUAACUAUAUUAAUAUACCACAAUAUCCUAAUAAAAGUUACAUAUUGUCAAUUUCAAGCUUGUAUUUUUGAAUUCCUUGACCAUAGAUAUUUGAUGCAAAAAAAACUACACCAAGUGUAGAAAUAGCUUAUAUUAAAAAUAAAACUCUGCAACCGCUUAAUUAACAAAAACCAGAUUUGUAAGGACGCUUCAAAAAAAAAAACAGUUGUUUCAACCAGUUUUAGUUCUUAAUUUUAUUUGGCCCUGAGAAUAUAACAUCUGAUCUCUGUUGCACGAAACACAAUUCAUAUUAUAUUUGAAUAACAUUUUUUGUAUUAUUCAAAUUACAAAAAUUGAGAAAUCAAAAAAUACUGUCAUUAAUAAUGAUACAAUUUAAUCAUCCCAGAAUCUGGCUCUCUCUUGCUUCAAAUCGUUCAUUUGGCACAGAAACUUUUGCCUACAAAAGUGUAGUUUAAUAGCAAAGAUCUUACUUUUAAUUUCUUAAGUUUAAAAUUUCAGUAAAAGUAAUUUUAGAUUAACAGAUGUUUAUACAUUUUUACUGAGUUGUGACGAUAAGCUGUCUUAAGCCUUUAAUAAUUUAAUAUAAAAAAGAUUUUUUCGAGUGCACUGAUAAGGACAGUGGUACCAAAAUUGAAAAAAAAUAGUAUUGGGUAUGUACAAAAAGUACAAAGCACACAGUAAGCCUAAACAUCUACAGAAUAGGGUUUAAAACAUCAUUUUACACACUCUGACAAACAGACUUCUAUAGUUACAUAAAAUUCGUACGCUUAUUGGUACUAGCUUACAUAAUACAUCGUGCAAUAAACAUGACCUCCUAAAUAUACUGUCAGGCAAUUUUAGACUUUAUCAUCGUAGUACUGAAAUGUAUUAAGGUGGAAAUUUCGAUUUGAAGUUGGUAUCGUUUGAUAAUAACAUAUUUUUAUUAGUAACAUUUGUUUCAAUAUUGAUUGUGAUAGAACACUCGUUAUCUGGCAUGCUUCAAAACGAAUUUUUAAGUUGUUGCGUUGUAAAAUAAAAUAAAUAAUUUGUGUUCACAUUACAUUUUUGUUGAUAAAUUUUUCGAAAUUUGUAUUUUAUUUGAUAUUGAGGUUAUGCACUAUUAUGUCAACCAUAUAAUCCGUAGUAUUUAUGGUACAUUAAAAUUCAGAAUCCAUGCACUUCACUUCAGAUUGAAACAAUAACGUUUGAUAACUUCACAAAAUUUUUCUUUUAAAAUUUUUUUUUCAAAAAAUUCUCUGUCAUUUCUGCACAUCACUUGAUACAAAUAAUAUUGUUGAUACAACUAGCUGCGGAUUAUUCCUUUACACUUUAGUUUCAUCUGUUCUCCUUCUCGGCAAUUUUGGCACAAGCCACACAAUUCGCGUGUGAGCGAUAAUUGUUAUUCUUCCUUCUAACGGCGAAAUUCCUUUCUCUUGAAGGGAACUUCUGUAUCUUCCUUGGCUGUUCCUUUACGUCGGUCACGUGUUUAUACAUGUUUAUUUGUUUAAGAUUCAAGCACAUAAUACGCGUGCGUACAGUACAACAGUUGCGGUGUCACUGACUGACAGAAGAAUUAAGUGAAGUGACUUGAAUAGUGUUGUAUGCGGGCGCAUGCACUGACCUCUUUUGAAGGUUGCAAUCGUCUCGCGAGUCGAUAGCUUAUCUAAGUUGUUAAGUAAAGAAGUAUAUAUUAUGUGGAGUUUCUGGACAUUUAUGUUUUCAAGUUUAUAAUUUAUAAUAAAUUUGGUUUCGUUAAAAUUUCAAAUCGAUCGAAAUUACGACCCACUCCGAAGAUCUGAUUAGAAGCUCAGCUGGCUAAAUUUCAAGUCGAACUCUUCGGUGAGCCCGACAAGUGGCCCAAAGGCUUUUCCAGCUUCACCAGGACAGGUGGGCGAGCAAGAGCUCAGCCAGGAGGGGUGGGAUUUUCUAACGGCUACCCGAGCGCCUCCGAAGGAGACCUAACAGCUCAAGAUACAUAACUACGACCGGAUUGGAACCGCGACACGAUGAGAAAAUCCGGCGAGAAACUCAGCGGGUUGGUGCACGGGUUGGGUUGCACGUUGAACUCUUUGCCGAGUUCGACGAGUACGGUUACCGGGGUCCCUAAGCCUGCUUCUAGUAUUAGAGCUGAAGCCAUGUAAUGCAAGAGUAAUUGAAUCUGAUGGAUGCGUAAGGGCGUGUCUACGACGUGUCUAGGGCGUCGACGGUGACUGGCUCCUGUAUGAUCAGGAUUCAGGGAAUAGUCAGCGGUGGCAACGAUAAGGUGAUCAUCAUGACAAUCCAAUUCUAACGUUAUGUAAUCGGCUUGUAUCGAUUUUACGCAAGAACGCAUCAAAAUCGAUUUUAAUUUUUAAUUAGCAUAUCCUAUGGAACGAUGUUCUUGAUGUGUGAAGAGGACAUUUUGGCGGGAACGCGAGCAGUGAAGUUGUGUGAUUUGUUUUAUUUUGUCUAUUUAGUGUUUCUUCAGGUUUAAAUGUGUAAUAACGGUGGUUUAUUAACUUUUUAAUAUCUGUGAAAGUGCACGAAUGUGGGAAAAUGAAACAAAGCUGCUGGACGUAGCUUCUCGGGUUCCUCCAAAAAGUCCACUGAAAUAAUCUUAGUAAAUGACUACCAUUUUACUGAUAUUAUAUUUCAUCCCAUAUCAUCUUAUUUCAUUUCAUUUAAUUUCAUCCCAGUUGAUUAAUGUCUCAAAUUAAUUAUCUUCAUUUCAUUUCACUCCAUAAUAUAAUUUUUCGUAAAAAUAUGAAUAUAAAUUAAAAUAAGACAUGACUUAAAGGUCUCAGUUACCGGGUCAUAAAAUCCCUUAAAAAAAGAUGUGUGAGACGACCGUGUUUAAGUUCAUUUACGGCAGUCAGGUGAAGGUAACUUUAAAAUAUUUCGUGUUUUGUGCAUAUAUUCAGGGUAUUGCUUUUAGAUUGAGUGUACGAAAACAUAUUUCGCUGCAAAUCUUUUUUUUUUAUUAAAUCAUAUUUUCUACUUUCAUUUAAGAAUAAAGAAGUUAUUUUCUUUUGUAGUUAAGGACUUUUAUUCAAGUAUGCUCUGAAACUACUUAGUACCUAAUCUAUAUCGUAAUAUUAUCAUAAAUUUUAGUAACUGCAAGACAAUCGCUUUGAGUAUAAUUGUCAUUAAAUUUCCGACGUAAUAUCAUUAUUCUGCUGACAUUAUACGUUAAUUCGUAUAAGCAUUUUAUGUUAUGUCUACAACUAUAGAGAUACUAUAGAGCUGAAGUUAUAUUGAGGAGGGAAGUGCAUUUCAAAUCCGGAUGGCACGCGGCAAAAAAGAUCUGUGGAAACGCAAUGUGGAUGAACUCAGCAUUUUAGUUAUUAUGGAUUUUAUUGAAGAAUAGCCUAAGAAUAUCAAGGUUAUUGUUGCACAUCGCAAAUUUAUAAUAGGUCCAAUGAAGCAAUGAAGGUUCCACCAUCAAAGGACUUCCUAGGCGGAAGGAAACGAAACGUGACGCGUGAAGAACUGUAUCAUUAUUCUGAGAUGAAUCUUCAAUAUCUAUAACAAAGGCUUGAGAAACCGACUGAUGUCCCAGGGAGACUACUGGGGUAUUAUUUGUCGACUUUUAAAUACCGUCGUGUUAACAGCCGUCUAAUCUUAAUAUAUAUUUCAUCUGUG